UUUAAAUUGAGAGUUUGAUCCUGGCUCAGGAUGAACGCUGGCGGCGUGCCUAAUACAUGCAAGUCGAACGAAACUUCUUUAUCACCGAGUGCUUGCACUCACCGAUAAAGAGUUGAGUGGCGAACGGGUGAGUAACACGUGGGCAACCUGCCCAAAAGAGGGGGAUAACACUUGGAAACAGGUGCUAAUACCGCAUAACCAUAGUUACCGCAUGGUAACUAUGUAAAAGGUGGCUAUGCUACCGCUUUUGGAUGGGCCCGCGGCGCAUUAGCUAGUUGGUGAGGUAAAGGCUUACCAAGGCAAUGAUGCGUAGCCGAACUGAGAGGUUGAUCGGCCACAUUGGGACUGAGACACGGCCCAAACUCCUACGGGAGGCAGCAGUAGGGAAUCUUCCACAAUGGGCGAAAGCCUGAUGGAGCAACGCCGCGUGGGUGAAGAAGGUCUUCGGAUCGUAAAACCCUGUUGUUAGAGAAGAAAGUGCGUGAGAGUAACU
rnacentral:rRNA from 2 species